UGUGAGAAGGGAAUUUGUCGA
rnacentral:piRNA from 1 species